rnacentral:lncRNA from 1 species
AGGGCUAACUUACAUGACCCCUACAGAGCCAGAGUCGCUUGAGAAGUCGAGAAGUGCUAGAUGCUAUAGGCAUAAGAUUGCCGUGAGCAUACAAUACCACUCAUGAGAGUUGACUUACCAGAACCUCAAGAAGAUCUCGACGACUCUGAGGUAGAGCUAACUUACAAGGCUCCUGCAAAGCCUGAGUCACUCGAGAAGACAAGAAGUGCUAGAUGCUGCAGGCACA